rnacentral:misc_RNA from 1 species
CCAAUAUGAAAGCGGGUGGGGAGCCACAGAAGUCGGAGCCCUUGUGGCUCUACUUCUGCCCCAUCUGUCUGAAUAUUCACCCAUGUCUUUUGCGUACCCAUUGUUUCCUUGGCGGGCUUGCCCGCCAACAGGACAUUGUUAAACCUUUUGUAAUUGCAGUCAGCGUCAGAAAUAACUUAAUAGUUA